rnacentral:rRNA from 1 species
UACGGGAGGCAGCAGUGGGGAAUAUUGCACAAUGGGCGAAAGCCUGAUGCAGCUAUGCCGCGUGUAUGAAGAAGGCCUUAGGGUUGUAAAGUACUUUCAUCGGGGAGGAAAAACAAAACUAAUAAUUUUAUUUCUUGACGUUACCCGAAAAAGAAGCACCGGCUAACUCCGUGCCAGCAGCCGCGGUAAUACGGAGGGUGCUAGCGUUAAUCAGAAUUACUGGGCGUAAAGAGCACGUAGGUGGUUUUUUUAAGUCAGAUGUGAAAUCCCUGGGCUUAACCUAGGAACUGCAUUUUGAAACUGAAAUACUAGAGUAUCGUAGAGGGAGGUAGAAUUCUAGGUGUAGCGGUGAAAUGCGUAGAUAUCUGGAGGAAUACCUGUGGCGAAAGCGGCCUCCUAAACGAAUACUGACACUGAGUGCGAAAGCGUGGGGAGCAAACAGGGAUUAGAUACC